rnacentral:misc_RNA from 1 species
GAAAUGCGAUAAGUAGUGUGAAUUGCAGAAUUCAGUGAAUCAUCGAAUCUUUGAACGCACAUUGCGCCCUUUGGUAUUCCAUGGGGCAUGCCUGUUCGAGCGUCAUUUGUACCCUCAAGCUCUGCUUGGUGUUGGGUGUUUGUCCCCGUCUCCGCGCGUGGACUCGCCCCAAAGUGAUUGGCAGCCGGCGUACUGGUCCCGGAGCGCAGCACAUGUCGCGCAAACGAGUGCCUUGGUACGGCGGCGUCCAUAAGCCCCUCUCUCACGCUCUUGACCUCGGAUCAGGUAGGGAUACCCGCUGAACUUAAGC